rnacentral:rRNA from 1 species
GACGAACCGUCCAAACGUUAUUCGGAUUCACUGGGCUUAAAGGGUGCGUAGGCGGCCCGGAAAGUUGGGUGUGAAAGCCCUCGGCUUAACCGAGGAAUUGCGCCCAAAACUACCGGGCUUGAGGGAGAUAGAGGUGGGCGGAACUUAGGGUGGAGCGGUGAAAUGCGUUGAUAUCCUAAGGAACACCUGUGGCGAAAGCGGCUCACUGGGUCUCUUCUGACGCUGAGGCACGAAAGCUAGGGGAGCGAACGGG